rnacentral:tRNA from 1 species
AACCACGUAGCUCAGUUGGCAGAGCAUUGGGCUAGUAUUCCAAAGGUCGUAGGUUCGAUUCCCACCGUGGCCG